rnacentral:rRNA from 1 species
UUUGAUCAUGGCUCAGAUUGAACGCUGGCGGCAGGCUUAACACAUGCAAGUCGAACGAUGACUCUCUAGCUUGCUAGAGAUGAUUAGUGGCGGACGGGUGAGUAACAUUUAGGAAUCUACCUAGUAGUGGGGGAUAGCUCGGGGAAACUCGAAUUAAUACCGCAUACGACCUACGGGUGAAAGGGGGCGCAAGCUCUUGCUAUUAGAUGAGCCUAAAUCAGAUUAGCUAGUUGGUGGGGUAAAGGCCCACCAAGGCGACGAUCUGUAACUGGUCUGAGAGGAUGAUCAGUCACACCGGAACUGAGACACGGUCCGGACUCCUACGGGAGGCAGCAGUGGGGAAUAUUGGACAAUGGGGGCAACCCUGAUCCAGCCAUGCCGCGUGUGUGAAGAAGGCCUUUUGGUUGUAAAGCACUUUAAGCAGGGAGGAGAGGCUAAUGGUUAAUACCCAUUAGAUUAGACGUUACCUGCAGAAUAAGCACCGGCUAACUCUGUGCCAGCAGCCGCGGUAAUACAGAGGGUGCGAGCGUUAAUCGGAAUUACUGGGCGUAAAGCGAGUGUAGGUGGCUCAUUAAGUCACAUGUGAAAUCCCCGGGCUUAACCUGGGAACUGCAUGUGAUACUGGUGGUGCUAGAAUAUGUGAGAGGGAAGUAGAAUUCCAGGUGUAGCGGUGAAAUGCGUAGAGAUCUGGAGGAAUACCGAUGGCGAAGGCAGCUUCCUGGCAUAAUAUUGACACUGAGAUUCGAAAGCGUGGGUAGCAAACAGGAUUAGAUACCCUGGUAGUCCACGCCGUAAACGAUGUCUACUAGCCGUUGGGGUCCUUGAGACUUUAGUGGCGCAGUUAACGCGAUAAGUAGACCGCCUGGGGAGUACGGCCGCAAGGUUAAAACUCAAAUGAAUUGACGGGGGCCCGCACAAGCGGUGGAGCAUGUGGUUUAAUUCGAUGCAACGCGAAGAACCUUACCUGGUCUUGACAUAGUGAGAAUCUCUCAGAGAUGAGAGAGUGCCUUCGGGAACUCACAUACAGGUGCUGCAUGGCUGUCGUCAGCUCGUGUCGUGAGAUGUUGGGUUAAGUCCCGCA